UACGGAGGGUGCGAGCGUUGUCCGGAAUCACUGGGCGUAAAGGGCGCGUAGGUGGCGCGAGGAGUCUGUGGUGAAAGCCCGAGGCUCAACUUCGGGUCGGCCGCGGAUACUCUCGUGCUGGAGGGUGGUAGAGGCCAAUGGAAUUCCGGGUGUAGCGGUGGAAUGCGUAGAGAUCCGGAAGAACACCAGUGGCGAAGGCGGCCCGCUGGGCAGUGGCUGACGCUGAGGCGCGACAGCGUGGGGAGCAAACAGG
rnacentral:rRNA from 1 species